UGCGACAAUAAGUUAUGUGGCGAGGAUCUACGUUGAUUUUGUACACUUUAUUAGCGAGUUAUUGAACGUCACAUGCCUUAUUUUAAUAAAUGAACACCAAUCACAAACAGCUCUUCGAGGUUUGCUGUCAUUUAAGUUCGUCCCCAUUUAAAAAUUUAAAAAGUAAUUAGGUGAAUAAACUCCGUUUGGUAUCGUUUGAUGUCGCUAAAAUCGCAUUGUGUUGUUAUCAUGUCGAAAGUUCGUGCUGCUUUCUUUUUCUUUUUUUCCCUUUGUUUUUGGAAUAAAUUCAACACCAUAUUAAAUAUUGUGAGCUUUCAACAAUGUCAGGUUUUCUCACCAUACUACAACUAAUGACUGAACUGUUUUCCAUCUAUCUGAUCAAUCCUUCUGAUCCUUCUACUGUGAAAAUCAUCUUUACUUAUCAUAUGUUUGAAUGAGAUACAGAAACAGGUGCCUUCAGCAGUGUGGAGUUAAAUUGCUGUUACACUGUGCUGUUUUUCUUGAUCACUUGAAGCAACCAAAAAGAGGUA